rnacentral:rRNA from 1 species
GACGAACGCUGGCGGCGUGCCUAAUACAUGCAAGUCGAACGCAGUGGGGACGGGUGAGUAACACGUGGGUAACCUCCCAUCAGAGGGGAUAACACUUGGCAACAGGUGCUAAACCGAUACUGAUGGAUGGACCCGCGGUGCAUUGGCUAGUUGGUGAGGUAACGGCUCACCAAGGCGACGAUGCAUAGCCGACUCGAGAGGGUGAGCGGCCACACGGGGACUGAGACACGGCACAGCGUGCUACGGGAGGAAGCAGUGGGAAAUCUUCGGCAAUGGAAGAAAGUCUGACCGAGCAACGCCCCGUGAGUGAAGAAGGUUUACGGAUCGUAAAAUCCUGUUGUUAGAGAAGCGGGAUCUAACCAGAAAGCCACGGCUAACUACGUGCCAGCAGCCGCGGUAAUUC